CCAAGAUGGCCGAAUAGGAACAGCUCCGGUCUACAGCUCCCAGCGUGAGCAAUGCAGAAGACAGGGGUUAGGAAACUGUUGCCUAUGGGCUGAAUUUGGCUUGCUGUCUGCUUUUAGAGACCAGGAUGAAUCUGAAGGCUAUGGUGGUUAUUUUCUAAUCCAAAAACCAGAAGCAGUACUAUUCAAUGAGGGCUCUGGUAACAAGGCCUGUGAUGUCAUCAGCAACCAAUCAGAGCUUCUGAACUGCACGUCUCACAUUCAGUGUUAACAUACUGAGUUGAUGUAAUUCCAACAAAAAAAAAAUAAAAAGAUAUGUGCUGUUUUA
rnacentral:lncRNA from 10 species